rnacentral:siRNA from 1 species
UAGGAUUCAGAUCACAUUAA